UUCUCUUCAACAAAAGAAAGGCCUUGGCGGUGCAGCGUCUGUGGGAGAGACAAAUCUAACCUUUGUAUUCGUCGACGACAACAAUGGAUCGCAUCCUCUUCUUCGAACACGCUCGCAAGGCCGCCGAAGCCUCCUACACCAAAAACCCCCUCGAUGCCGAGGUACAUAUGCCUUGGCUUGAAGGUGUGUUUGACAAGCUCAUAAAAAGUUGUUAUGGCUUUGUUUGCUACAAUGGUUGAUUAGCUACACUACAGCAUCAGCAAAUGGCUCUGUUUCUCUCUCUAUGCUCUGUUUUGUUUAUCUUCUCUCUCUACAGCAUCUAUGCUUCCGCAGCUCUUCCUCCUCUUCAACCACAUCUUGAUGGUAAGCACUGCCUCACUUCCUUUUACUUGCUUUAUAUACAUCUCACAUUACAUCUCUGUUUCUCUUUUUGGAAGAAAUUGCUUGAAUGUGAUGUGGUUUAGUUCUGAUUUGGUUUGUAAAUCAACAAAGUUUUUUACUUUUUAGAGUAACUCUAACACUGCAUUUCACUUAACAAAAGUAUAUAUAAAAUAAUUUUACUUUUAAAUUUUAUCUCACAACUUUACCUAAUAUGUGUACUCCAACAACAAUUGCUACUCAUGAAAUUAGUUUGCCUAGCUUUUAGAACUCUCUAAAUGUAGUUAUCCAAAAGG